GACGAACGCUGGCGGCGUGCUUAACACAUGCCAGUCGAACGGAAAGGCCCUGCUUUUGUGGGGUGCUCGAGUGGCGAACGGGUGAGUAACACGUGAGUAACCUGCCCUUGACUUUGGGAUAACUUCAGGAAACUGGGGCUAAUACCGGAUAGGAGCUCCUGAUGCAUGGUGGGGGUUGGAAAGUUUCGGCGGUUGGGGAUGGACUCGCGGCUUAUCAGCUUGUUGGUGGGGUAGUGGCUUACCAAGGCUUUGACGGGUAGCCGGCCUGAGAGGGUGACCGGCCACAUUGGGACUGAGAUACGGCCCAGACUCCUACGGGAGGCAGCAGUGGGGAAUAUUGCACAAUGGGCGGAAGCCUGAUGCAGCAACGCCGCGUGCGGGAUGACGGCCUUCGGGUUGUAAACCGCUUUCGCCUGGGACGAAGCGUGAGUGACGGUAAUUGGUAAAGAAGCACCGGCUAACUACGUG
rnacentral:rRNA from 1 species